GCCAUACCCAGGGGGAGGUUGCCGAGUGCAGCCUGAGAUUAGCUUCAAGCUUAAACCCCGGAACCUGAUCCGGUUAGUACCGGCGUAGGAAUGGGAAGGCAGUCGAUA
rfam:Oceanobacter sp. HI0075 HI0075_c16, whole genome shotgun sequence.